CGCGCGCGCGCGGGAAGGGCUCUGUGGGCGCCGCGCCGUGCCGGGAGCGCGCGUCGGACGCCGCCACACGGGGCCCCUCAGCGGCCGCCAGCGCUCCGGCUGACACAGGUAAGGUUGCUUAUGCUCGAAGAUGCCACGCUAUGGAACAAUCGUUGUCAUUAAAAGGAAUGGGACUGAUGGAAUUGUUUUUCCCCUCACCUCAACUUCUUGUUUAUUUGGAAGGAAAACAGAAUGUGACAUCCGCAUGCGGCUGCCCUGGGUGUCCAACGAGCACUGCAAAAUCGAGAUCAAUGAGAACAAGGAGGCAGUCCUGACCAAUUUGAGCUCCGUGAACCCCACGCAGCUGAACGGGGCUUGCUUUGAGCAGCCUGUUCCCCUGAAGCACGGAGAUGUGUUAACCAUUAUCGAUCGUUCUUUCAGGUUUGAAUAUCCUCUGCAAUCAACACCGAAAAAGAGGCGUUCCAGGUCUCCAAAAGAUGAAACUCUACAGGUUCUUCAUGUUCAGCAGGUGGCAGAAGUGGAAUUACUACACAAACAGCCUCCAGGAGCUAAAAGUCUUGAUGCUUCAGAUAAUGCUGAAUGUAAAGAAAAAAAUGCCAAUGAACAUAAACAAACUCCAGAGGAAAAUCUUCCUGAAGCUUUCCCUGUCAAACUCCAAACACCCAAAUCUUCACAGAGAAUACAUUGUGUUCUUAAAAAGCAAAAUGAAAUGUCUCCCUUUAGUAAACUCUAUGAAAGUGUGAAAAACGAGCUGAAAGUGAAAAAAGCUCUGUGCAGGAGAAGUUCCUCUCAGCAAGCUGCAAAAGGAGACCCUGGGAGUGUUCUGCCAGAACCAGGUGCUCCCAUUUCAUCCCAGAGCUGUCCUUUUGAUCUGGGCAGCCUGCCUAAAGCCAAGGAAACAGGCAGUGUGGAAAAUAUUGAAAAAUGUGUAAUUGUGAGACGAGAAGAAGAAAACAGCCCAGGGUUUAACCAGCUGUCAGCUGCGGGGAGAACUCCCAGGAGGAGUUUUACCAGGAGUCCUCGAGCUCCCAUUUCAAAGGUGUCAGGAGAGAUCAGUCAGAGUCCAGUGCAGGAUCCCAAGGAAUUAAGGACACCAGGCAGAUCCAGAAGUGCUGCAGUUACACCCAGAUCCAGCAAGGGGAACCACAGGAACUCGCUGGUUUUGCUGGAGCAGUGCUCCAUAGAAAGGUUCGAGUGUCCAGUCCAAGGGACAGUGUGCAGUCCCACAAACUGCAGUGCUGCUGAAGGAUCUCCGUGUGUGCUGAGCACACCAAGGCCCAGGAGGAAGAGUCCUCGGUCUCUUUUUGUGUCACCUCCCAGAGAAACCGCUGGGGUGAAUCCUGGAAAUCCUGAUGCUCCAAGGACACCAUGGCGUGGCUCGUUGAAACUGAAGUCACUUCCAGAGAUCCCAGCUGAAGUUCCAAGUGAAGAUGCAGGGUGCAGAAUUGAGAACACACAACUGCCUUUGCCAGAAGACAAAAGCUUAAAGCAGCGACGAAACAGCAAACAACAAACACCAGGAAAACCUGCCCAAGAGGUGCUGAAAGAAAUCUGGGAUCAGGCAAACCUGGAUAACUCAAAGGUGGGACACUGUGAAACCCCUGCCCCCCUCUCUAAUUCCAAGAGUCCCAGAAGAAGCAGCAGGGAAAGUAAAGAAUUCUUGGACCAAAGUGCCCAUUCAGAGGCAUUGGCUGCAGAAGGAAUGUUGGCAUCUCCUGCUGGUCAGACACCUGGAAGGAAAAGGGGAAGGCCAAGGAGCUCUGGAGUGCUGGCUGAAACAGCACUGGAGACAAACACUGCUCAGGACCAGCAUGAUUCAGGCAGAAAAACCAGUGCAACUCCAGCAGAACUGACCAUGGACACAUGUCACCAAAACCAGGAUUUGGAAGAUGCUCCAAGACCUCGGAGACCAUCAGUCAAGAGAAGAUCUUCUGGAAGUGCUGCUGAGCUGAGAGACACUGAGCCUGGCUCAGAAACCAAAACUGUUGGCCUUUUGCAAGGAGAAGACUCAGGCAAGACAAAAACAAUCUCUCAGAAGAGGAAAAGUGGUGAAACGCUCCCUCAGACUCUGGGCAAAAGAAAGAGAGUGUCCUUUGGUGGUCAUCUGAGCCCAGAACUCUUUGAUAAAAGUUUGCCUCCCAACUCUCCCCUGAAAAGAGGAGCUCUCCCUGCCAGGAGGAGUUUACCCCAUGGAAACUCUCCUCGGGCUGUGCUCAAAAAGGCUCAGAGCUUGAAGCACUGGAUAGAUCAGGAAGAAAAAAAGUCACCCAAAAGUUCCCCAGCCCAGCAGCCCCCAGGUGCCUCAUCCCCUGUCUCAACACCCAAAAUCCCUUCAGGCUCUCCAGCCCCCUUCAGGAAAGGGCGUUUCUCCAUCUCCCAGCCCCCCACACCAUUCCCCAUUGCAGAGGAGAAGGAUGCUGGCACAGAAGACGUGGAUCCAGAGGGGAAGAGUGGUGUCCAGGGGAGAACCCCAAAAUCUUCCCCUGCUGCCCAAGAUGCCAAAGCCUUGGUGACAGGGACACCUGCCAAGUCAGCCAGAGGUGCCCAGCUGCGCUGGAAGGGCUCUGCCAGGAAGAGCAGAGGUGGGGCUGUGGCUGUUAUCAGUGCCAAGAGGAGAAGUGGUGCCUCCAGUGCCAAUUUAUUAGUUGCAAAAUCUUGGGCAGAAGUGGUAAAAUUGGGGGUUGCAAGACCACAGCCAAAGACUGCUAAAAAAAGUGUCCGUAAAGGAAGAGCCCUGAAGAAACUAAACCACCCCCCAAAGACUCCAGAGAAGAAAAUAAAAGGUCACUUCAGCACAGGUCAUGCAGAGUCACCUGCUACCAUAGUUGUAGGUAGAGCUUAUUCCACCACAGUCAGGCCAGCUGGACACGUCCCUAAAGUGGUGAAAAAUCCCAAGCUGAAGCUCAACAUGGAAAUGGAUGAAAGUUUCACAGGGGUGCCUGAAAUGUUCCAGACUCCAGAAAACCAGGGAGGAAGAACAUUUCCUUUGGCUGCUGCUCAGAAUGCUGAUGUUACACCACCAUGGGCUGCAGGGGACAUUUCUGACUUGCACACUCCUGAGGAAUCUGGAGAGAUGAUGGUGUCACCAUUAAAUAAUUCAGAUGCUUCAGAGCAGAAGCAAGAGAGUCCAGGCAUAUUCCACCUUCUGAGAGAGGAGUCAUCUCCAUCUAUGUUUGAUGAAAUAGCCACAAAAACUCCUGUAAAAAGAAAAGCUGUGCACAAGGACGCUGUGGAUAGUUUAGCAGUAAUUUCAGAAAAACCAGCAUCUCAGGUGAAAUCAGGAAGUAAAAGGAGGACUCCAAAGCAGAAGCUGGAGCCAGCUGAGGUCAUGUCAAGCAAAAGGAAGAUUUUAAGGACCCCUGAGCAAAAGUCAGAACCAGGAGAGGCUUUGUCAGGUAUCAAGAGGCUCAUGAAGACCCCAAGGCAGAAGCCUGAGCCUACAGAGGUUUUAUCAGGCAUCAAACAGCUCAUGAAGACCCCAAAUCAGAACUUUGAGCCUACAGAAGUUUUGUCAGGCACCAAGCACCUCUUGAAGACCCCAGAUCAGAAGUUGGAGCCUGUAGAGGUUCUGUCAGGCAUCAAACAGCUCUUGAAGACCCCAAAGCAGAAAUUGGAGCCUGUAGAGGUUCUGUCAGGCAUCAAACAGCUCAUGAAGACCCCAAAGCAGAAACUGGAGCCUGUAGAGGUUCUGUCAGGCACCAAGCACCUCUUGAAGACCCCAGAUCAGAAGUUGGAGCCUGUAGAGGUUCUGUCAGGCAUCAAACAGCUCUUGAAGACCCCAAAGCAGAAACUGGAGCCUGUAGAGGUUCUGUCAGGUAUCAGAGAGCUCUUGAAGACCCCAGAUCAGAAAUUGGAGCCUGUAGAGGCUUUGCCAGACAUCAAACAGCUCAUGAAGACUCCAAAUCAGAAAUUGGAGCCUGUAGAGGUUCUGUCAGGCAUCAAACAACUCUUGAAGACCCCAAAGCAGAAAUUGGAGCCUGUAGAGGUUCUGUCAGGCAUCAAACAGCUCUUGAAGACCCCAAAGCAGAAAUUGGAGCCUGUAGAGGUUCUGUCAGGUAUCAAAGAGCUCUUGAAGACCCCAAAUCAGAAACUGGAGUCUGUAGAGGUUCUGUCAGGUAUCAAACAGCUCAUGAAGACCCCAAAUCAGAAAUUGGAGCCUGUAGAGGUUCUGUCAGGCAUCAAACAGCUCUUGAAGACCCCAAAACAGAAACUGGAGCCUGUGGAGGCUUUGUCAGGCAUCAGACAGCUCAUGAGGACCCCACGGCGGAAGCCAGAGCCAGUGGAGGACCUGUCAGGCAUUAAGCAGCUCCUGAGGACCCCACAGCAAGAGCUGGAACCACUCACAGAUGAAGUUGCCUUGAAAAGGUUGCUGGAGACUCCAGCAGAGAGCAGGGAAGCAGUAAAAGCUGUGCCAGGUGUGACUUCAACCAAGAAAACCCCAAAGCUGAAAUCCCAACCCGUGGAAGACAUGGUUGGGAUCAGCCGCAUUUUCCGGACACCAAAGGAAAAGGUUGAGCCUGUGGAAAACAUGUUUGGAAUUAGCAGAUUGAUGAAGUCUCCUAAAGAGAAAUAUCAGCCAGUUGAGGAUUUUUUGGGGCUGCAAAGGCUCAUGGCAGAACCCAGGCAGAAAUCUGAUUCUGAAGUGGACUAUGCUGGAGUGACUGAAAUGCUUGGUACCCCAGAGGAAAUGAAGGUCAGAUCAGUAAGUGUUAUGGAUUCUCAGGGAGAAAUUGCACCUCCUGGUUCUAAUUCCAGUCAUAAACAUGAAGAGAAAGGAAAAGUUUCCCAAGGUGAAGAUUCCCAACAGAAGGACUCAUCUGGGGAAGAGCAGCCUACCCAGAGACCCAGAAGGGGCAGGAGAGCUGUACCUCCUGCUGCAACAAAACCAAGUGAAAAUGGUGUGAGUUUAAAGGAUUUGCAGAGUCCUGACACCCAAGAGGAGAUGGGAGUGAUCACACCUGAAAACAAGGGAAGAGGAAGGAGGACAAAGCGUUGUGUACAAGAAGUUGUUCCAAAGUGUCCUGAUCAGGAAGGGCUUGACAUUGUGAAACCACCUGGAGCUACUCAGAGACCAGGGAGAGGUAAAAGGAAAGAGCUGAGGGAGUUAAAACAUCAAAAUGAAAAUCUGGAGUCUUGUGUUGAAGAUUCCUCAGUGCUACAAAAAGCACCUGCAAAUACCAAACAGAGUUUGCAGGACUGUGGCAUCAGUGAAACUGAAGAUGAUCCAGGCACAAAGACAGGACUGGGAAACAUUCAGAGUGAAAUCUGUCAGCUGCAAACAGGUUCAAAUAAUCCUGAUAGCAAAGGUACUGACAGUGGGAUAGAGGACUGUGAAGAAGUGCUCCUGUCACCAAGGAGGAGGCGCAGAGGAGUGGAGAGCACAGAACCAGUGAUUCUGCCAAGAAGAGGGAGACGAGCAAGGAAUGACCAAGGUGAAGCAGCUUCUCCAGGAGACCUUCACAGAGCAGCCAAAAAGCUUCGUAAAGACCCAUCCCCAAAGGUUUCACAAAGACAGGAACAGGCUUGUGACAAAGCUCCUGAGGCUGCCACAGCACAAGAAUCUGAAAAUGGCACUAAACUUGAACUAAAGGCAGCAGAGAGAAGAGUUAAAUCUCUUAGAAGUACUAGAAACAGAAAGCACUCAGCUGAAAUAAAAGCAGACACUUGUGGGGUCGUGCUUGAAAAUACACAAAACAUUCAGCAAACUGAGGUAACAUCAACUGAAACUGAUGCUGAAAUGCAAUCCCACGUGGAAAAUGAGAUGAAAGGAUCGCAGGGAUGUGAAACAGAAAAUGCUCAGGAAAAUACAACAGAGGCAGCUCCAAGAUUAAAGGCAGAGUCACCUUCUGCAGAGACAAACAAAAUGCCAGUCAGUGCUCAGAACAUGGAAGCAAAGAGGACGAGAAACAGGAGAGGCAAAAAAGACUCUUUGGAGCAAGAAGCUGAGGAAUUUACUGAAAAUGUGAACAGCCGAAAACCAACUGCUCCCAAACUUAAUUCAGAAACAGAAGUGGAUGAAUCUUCUCUCCAGGAUUCCGUGGGCUCUGUUUGUGUCAGCGCAGCCCCAGGCAGGAAGGAGCAGGCCAGCCCAGGUGCCCCAUCAGUCCCUGCUGCAGGCGGUGCCAGUCCUGCUCAGGGCAGUCAGAGGAGGACGAGAAAUGAACGGGGAAUACUUCAAGAAAAGCAAACUGAAACCCUGCAGGGCAAUCCAGCACAAAGAAAUGCAGGGAUGUGUAGAAGAGGAAGAGGUAAAAAAGUUAAUUUUCAGCUUGAAGAAGGCAGUUCCAAAUCAGUAGAAGGAAAAAGUUUAGCUGAGGGUGAUGAAGGGAUGACUGCCAAAGAUAACCAACAUGAGAGUUCCGAAAAUCCUCCUUCACAGGGAAGGAGGGGCAGGAGAAAGCAACUUGAUUCUACCCCACAGAAAGCUAGUCCUGCCUUGGUGGAAAAACAAACGUUAAGUGCAGAUCACAGGAAAGAUGAGGCUGUUGUACAAGAACCAGGAUCAGCUUUGGAAGCUGCUCCCUCUUCAGCAGGGGACAAUCCACCGAGGCGGGGCAGGAGACGCGAGGUGGCUGCAGCAUCACAGAGCAGAUCUCCUUCUGUCAGAACGAGACGUAGGCUGCUGGAAGGUGGUGCUAAACAGAUGGCAGAGAGAGAAGAGGAAAAUCCAGCUCUGAUUAAUAAAACUUUACAGCCAAAAGUGAAUGCAGCAGCAAGGGACAGAAGGAAAAAGAUGGGUCCGGCAGCAGAGGCAAGAAGUUCAAGUCCUCUCCAGGGAAAAUGCGGCUUGUCAGAGACUAAAGAUGAGGGUACUCAGGAAGAGCAAAGUGUGCCUUUGGAAGCAGUGUCCUGUGCAAAGGAGAAGCCAGCAGGAAGGAGCAGGAGGAAAGAAACUGCUCUGGCAUCACACACAACCAAUUCCAUCUCUCUUCGAGGGAAGCGCGGGUUGCCGGCAGGUGAUGGAGAAGAAGCUCCCAAAGAAAAGCAGAAUGUUCCCGUAGAAACUUGUGAUUCAUCUGGAAAAGAAAAUCAACUGAGAAGAGGCAGGAGGAAGGAAAUUGCCCCCUUGGUAGAAGCCAAAAGUUCUAUUCAGGGAAACCAGGUCCUGUCAAAGCAAAGUGGUAGAAAAAAUAACAAUAUGGAAGCUAAACAGAAUUUGGACAAUUCUUCCCAAGAAAAUACAGAGCUUGUAAAAGGGAGCUCGAAGCAAGCAACCACUUCAGUGGCUCUUAGUCCCACCUCACUUCAGGGUUUGCCAGAAGAUGGUAAAGACAGAAUUCCUGAAGAAAAAAGUAAACUUUUGGACAUAGCUCCACCUGCAAAUGAAAAUCCAUCAAGAGUGAGCAGGAAGAAAACAACUUUUUCCACUUCUGAAGAAACAAUUUCCACUUCUCUCAGGGGAAAACCCAACCCACCCAGAGGCAGAGGUCAAAAGAGGGUUCUUAAAGAAAGUGAAGAUGCAUCUCCAGAAAAUAAUCCAUGCCAGGGGAGAACAAGGCAGUUGAGAAACAAUAGGAGGAAGGUGGAGGUGUCAGAAGCAGCUACUUCUUCUCCCCAUAAAAGCAGUGACUUGCCAGGAAAUGGCAACACUCGGGGAGCUCAGGAUUUGAGUGGAGCACCCCCUGGUUCUGAAGAGAAUCAGUCUGGAGAGGGCCAGGAGGGUGACCCUGCUCCACAGGCAGCCCCCUCCUCUCGCAGAAGGAAGUGCCAGCUGCCAGCAGAGGACGUGGCACCCAAAAGGUUCAGAUCAGGGAAUGAUGAAAAUGGGUCUGUCCAAAGAGGAAGAAGAAACAAAACUAAACUUGGAGAAGAGGAUGCAAGGGCAGCUCAGACCACUGGAGGGAUGGAGAGGAGGACAAGAUCCAGCACAAGAACAAGGAAAUAGCCUUAAGAGUCCCAGAACCAGUUUUUAAAUCAGUGCCUCACUGGAGCUGGUCUUGAGUCUGAGAAGGAAUCCUGGGCAAUCUCUCCUUAAGGAAUUUAUCCCACUGCUUUUGUAGGAAUUGGAGAGAUCUCCAGAGUUAGAUCCAGUUUCUGUAAUCUCCUGUGGAGAUGUGUGCAAGGCCAGAUGUGUUUGGUGAAGAAAUGGACCAGGUAGGAUGGGAAUUCCCAAAGCAAAGGCUCAUUGUGGAAGUCUCACAGAAGGUGAUGUUUCAUUUUUGGGAAUGUUCUACAGCCAGCCAGGAAAUCAGGAGUUGAAGGAUCUCGGAGCAGACCUCGGCUGGUGAGACAGGACUGAAAUCCAAACGAGGUGAAUCCUCCUGGAAGUUUGGGAGAACCCACCCUGAGCAAUCCUGACCAGUACCAGCUGAAAAAGGAGCAGCCUUCUCAGGGGGAUGGAGCAGCUCGGGGGAUCCCUGGGUCAGAGCAGCACAGCUGGGCUCUGGAACAGCCCCAGGACAUGGGAUGUGUCCUACAGAACAUCCUGGGAGUGUGAGGGCCUCCUCCCUUCAUGGCCCAGCUGAAGAGGAGCUCCAGUCCUGCUCUGCCCGCUCCAGGCGAGGCAGCUGAUGGUGCCAAGGGGCAUGGCUUGCUUUGAAUGGUUUGCACUGAUGCCUUUUCAGAAUGGGAAAAGUCAUGUUAAGCUAGAGGAAUUUUUGCAGGGUUGCAAGAGAGUUGAUUUGAGUCCUCAUAAUCUUCCAUCAUGACCAGUGGCUUUCCUGGAAAGUUUGAGGAUAAAAAGAAUGUUCCCUUUGGGUUAUUCAGGCGAGAAAAAGAAGUUUUCUAGGGGAAUUCCUAACAGGCCAAAUUCCUGGGAGCAAAUGGAGUUUCUGGUAAGUCAGGGCU